CCAAAUUCUGGAUGAAGUAGCCAGCUUGCUAUAAAUUUGAAAGGCCGACAAGUUGUAUUCUGAUGAUUAUGGCCACUAGAACCCAAAUUAACCAAGAUUAGUCGAGGAUCCGACUUCAAUUUGUGGAGAUGUCAGACCAAACUAUCUGGAGUGAAACAGUUCCAAUAUGAGUUGCAGAUGGCCUAUAAAGUCUUUGAAAAAGAUUACCUCUACUCCAGGUGAAACGAGGGUCAGAAAAACCCAUAUCCCUCAGCUUAUUCUUGAAUAAGAAAUCCUUAAAAAAAAUUACAACUUGCCUUCACACGAAUAACACCACCGUCAUGCUCCAAACUAUCCAGAAUGGAGUUGAAAUCUCCAUCAAGAAUCC
rnacentral:lncRNA from 1 species